rnacentral:rRNA from 1 species
AUUGAACGCUGGCGGCAGGCCUAACACAUGCAAGUCGAGCGGAGCGGCGGACGGGUGAGUAAUGCCUAGGAAUCAGCCUGGUCGUGGGGGAGAAAGUCCGGCAACGGGCGCUAAUACCUCCUACGAUCAAACGAGUGUAGGAGGGAUUAGCUCGUUGGUGGGUGAAAGGCCUACCAAGGCGACGAUCCGUAACUGGUCUGAGAGGAUGAUCAGUCACACUGGAACUGAGACACGGCCCAGAAUCCUACGGGAGGCAGCAGUGGGGAAUAUUGGACAAUGGGCGAAAGCCUGAUCCAGCCAUGCCGAGUGUUUGAAGAAGGUCUUCGGAUUGUAAAGCACUUUAAGUUGGGAGGCGUUACCAACAGAAGAAGCACCGGCUAACUGCGUGUCAGCGGCCGCGGUAAUUC